GUCGAUGUUAGCGUCAAGAAGAAGUACACUCCUUUUACACCAUUGUCAGCUGAUUCCACAAAGAUGUCUACAGAACCUGUUCUAUUAAACGCUUAUACAACUGGAGCUCCCCUGAUAGAAUGGAGAUGGAGUCAUCAAACUGUCUGGAAUCAGUCCUGAAGCCAAGAUUUCAAGAAGUGUAAAGCAAUCUGCGGUGCUCACUGCCCCGAUUGACUGCCCAACAAAAUCAAUAUGUUUUGUCAGAGUGGAAGAAAAAGAGAGGAACUGUGAUCCUGUCUGCACAGCUGAAUCCCUCACAUGAUUUAAGCACUUAAGAUGAAGACUGUAUAAUUAAGUGGAGACUUGCACUCAAGUCUCCCAUUGCACCAAGGCAGUUAUUAAGAUGAGUGAAACCUACUAUCAUUAUCCAGUAAAGAGCGUGAUGAUUGGCUGCUCUGUGUCAGGCCUCUGGUGGCUCUCUUUGUCACAAAUGCGAAAAGGAGAGUUUGCGUUCUGUCAAAACUGGCUUUGCCAAAUGUUAUCGUUUUAAAUGCCGUGAAAGAGAGGGAGCUGGGCCUAGGGGUAUACACAGACCCAUAUGCUGGUGACAGUGAUACAAGUGUAAUUCUAGACUAUUAGAGUGACACAUAAGAUCAUUUUUGCCCUAGAACAUGAGACAGCUGAAGAGAUUAUGCAGGACAGGCUGUCACGCAAUAAAAUUUUCAGAAAUCUGUUAACCCCAGAUCUGAUCCAGUGAAUAUUUUAUUGCUUAACACUCUGAAAAAGCAUAUUCAUUAACUACACACACACAGGCUGGUGGCUGAGGAGAUUAAAGGUUAAGGAAAUAAAAAUUUGCUUGCCAUCAAGAGUGAGAGAGAAGUAAUCAUACCUCAGCAAUGCAGAUUGUAAUCAGUAUGAGCGCUUUAGCUAAAAUUAGGUCCCUAUAAAUAGCAGAUUAAAAUGUGCGUGGGCUGUCGAAGAAAAAAAAUGACAAGAAUUAGCUGUAGGAAAAUGUUAUGUAUUGUAUAUAACACUAUCUUGUAGGAGUCUAGCAAAAUCAUAUGUACGUUUACCCCUCUU